AUGAAGCUGGAUUCGCUAGUAAUCGCGCAUCAGCCAUGGCGCGGUGAAUACGUUCCCGGGCCUUGUACACACCGCCCGUCAAGCCAUGGGAGUCGGGAGUGCCUGAAGUUCGUGACCGUCACAGGAGCGACCUAAGGCAAGACCGAUGACUGGGGCUAAGUCGUAACAAGGUAUC
rnacentral:rRNA from 1 species